rnacentral:rRNA from 1 species
AUUGAACGCUGGCGGCAGGCCUAACACAUGCAAGUCGAACGAGUGGCGGACGGGUGAGUAAUUUCUGGGAACCUGCCUGACGGAGGGGGAUAACUACUGGAAACGGUAGCUAAUACCGCAUACCAUCAGAUGUGCCCACAUGGGAUUAGCUUGUUGGUGGGGUAACGGUUCACCAAGGCGACGAUCCAUAGCUGGUCUGAGAGGGUGACCGGCCACACUGGAACUGAGACACGGUCCAGACUCCUACGGGAGGCAGCAGUGGGGAAUAUUGCACAAUGGGCGCAAGCCUGAUGCAGCCAUGCCGCGUGUGUGAAGAAGGCCUUCGGGUUGUAAAGUACUUUUGGCGGGGAGGCGUUACCCGCCGAGGAAGCACCGGCUAACUACGUGCCAGCAGCCGCGGUAAUAC